rnacentral:rRNA from 1 species
GGCGAACGCUGGCGGCGCGCUUUAUGCAUGCAAGUCGAACGGACCUCUCCGUGAAGCUCCACGAAGAAACCGAGGAACGAACCGGAGUCCCGACUUGUCGGGGCGAAGGGGAGGGAAUCGGAGACCGACUGGAGUAGAUCGGAUUCAAGAGGCUAGUGGCGAACGGCUGAGUAACGCGUAAUCAACCUGUCCCCGUGUGGGGGACAACCCCGAGAAAUCGGGGCUAAUACCGCAUAAUAUGGCCUGUCAUAAGGCGGGUCACCAAAGUCCCGACUUGUCGGGACGCAUGGGGAGGGGGUUGCGUUCUAUCAGGUAGUUGGUGUGGUAACGGCUCACCAAGCCUACGACGGAUAGCUGGUCUUAGAGGAUGAUCAGCCAGAUGGGGACUGAGACACGGCCCCAACUCCUACGGGAGGCAGCAGCAGGGAAUCUUGCGCAAUGGGCGAAAGCCUGACGCAGCGACGUCGCGUGGGGGAUGAAGGCCUUAGGGUUGUAAACCCCUUUUGUUUGGGACGAAGAUCUGACGGUACCAAACGAAUAAGCCUCGGCUAACUACGUGCCAGCAGCAGCGGUAAUACGUAGGAGGCGAGCGUUGCCCGGAUUUAUUGGGCGUAAAGGGUGCGUAGGCGGUCUGGAAAGUCUUUUGUGAAAUCUCCCGGCUUAACCGGGAGGGGUCAGAAGAUACUUCUAGACUUGAGGGGAGUAGAGGAGAACGGAAUUCCCGGUGUAGCGGUGAAAUGCAUAGAUAUCGGGAGGAACACUAGUGGCGAAGGCGGUUCUCUGGGCUCAACCUGACGCUGAGGCACGAAAGCGUGGGGAGCAAACCGGAUUAGAUACCCGGGUAGUCCACGCCGUAAACGAUGGGUACUGGGUACAGGGGGUAUCGACCCCCCCUGUGUCGAAGCUAACGCGUUAAGUAUCCCGCCUGGGGAGUACGGCCGCAAGGCUAAAACUCAAAGGAAUUGACGG